AUUGAACGCUGGCGGCAGGCCUAACACAUGCAAGUCGAGCGGAUGAAGGGAGCUUGCUCCUGGAUUCAGCGGCGGACGGGUGAGUAAUGCCUAGGAAUCUGCCUGGUAGUGGGGGACAACGUUUCGAAAGGAACGCUAAUACCGCAUACGUCCUACGGGAGAAAGCAGGGGACCUUCGGGCCUUGCGCUAUCAGAUGAGCCUAGGUCGGAUUAGCUAGUUGGUGAGGUAAAGGCUCACCAAGGCGACGAUCCGUAACUGGUCUGAGAGGAUGAUCAGUCACACUGGAACUGAGACACGGUCCAGACUCCUACGGGAGGCAGCAGUGGGGAAUAUUGGACAAUGGGCGAAAGCCUGAUCCAGCCAUGCCGCGUGUGUGAGGAAGGUCUUCGGAUUGUAAAGCACUUUAAGUUGGGAGGAAGGGUUGUAGAUUAAUACUCUGCAAUUUUGACGUUACCGACAGAAUAAGCACCGGCUAACUCUGUGCCAGCCGCCGCCGUAACAC
rnacentral:rRNA from 1 species